rnacentral:rRNA from 1 species
AAAGGAAUAGACGGGGGCCCGCACAAGCAGUGGAGUAUGUGGUUUAAUUCGACGCUACGCGAAGAACCUUACCAGGGCUUGACAUCCUGCUAACGAAGUAGAGAUACAUUAGGUGCCCUUCGGGGAAAGCAGAGACAGGUGGUGCAUGGUUGUCGUCAGCUCGUGUCGUGAGAUGUUGGGUUAAGUCCCGCAACGAGCGCAACCCCUGUGGUUAGUUGCUACGCAAGAGCACUCUAGCCAGACUGCCGUUGACAAAACGGAGGAAGGUGGGGACGACGUCAAAUCAUCAUGCCCUUUAUGUCCUGGGCUACACACGUACUACAAUGGCGAUUAACAACGAGUCGCGAACCCGCGAGGGGAAGCAAAUCUCCAAAAGUCGCCCCAGUUCAGAUUGCAGGCUGCAACUCGCCUGCAUGAAGCCGGAAUUGCUAGUAAUCGCAGAUCAGAAUGCUGCGGUGAAUACGUUCCCGGGCCUUGUACACACCGCCCGU